rnacentral:rRNA from 1 species
AAAUUGAAGAGUUUGAUCAUGGCUCAGAUUGAACGCUGGCGGCAGGCCUAACACAUGCAAGUCGAACGGUAACAGGAAGAAGCUUGCUUCUUUGCUGACGAGUGGCGGACGGGUGAGUAAUGUCUGGGAAACUGCCUGAUGGAGGGGGAUAACUACUGGAAACGGUAGCUAAUACCGCAUAACGUCGCAAGACCAAAGAGGGGGACCUUCUGGCCUCUUGCCAUCGGAUGUGCCCAGAUGGGAUUAGCUAGUAGGUGGGGUAACGGCUCACCUAGGCGACGAUCCCUAGCUGGUCUGAGAGGAUG